rnacentral:rRNA from 1 species
UGCAAGUCGAACGAGAUGACACCGGUAUUUAUAUUGGUUGAUUCUAGUGGCGCACGGGUGAGGAACACGUGAACAACAUACCCUUGAGUGGGGGAUAGCCCGCCGAAAGGCGGAUUAAUACCCCAUGGUACCUUCGGGUUAAAGAUGGCUUCGGCUGUCGCUUAAGGAUUGGUUCGCGCCCUAUCAGCUUGUUGGUGAGGUAAUAGCUCACCAAGGCUACGACGGGUACCUGGUUUGAGAGGACGAUCAGGCACACUGGAACUGAGACACGGUCCAGACACCUACGGGUGGCAGCAGUCGAGAAUAAUUCACAAUGGACGAAAGUCUGAUGGUGCAACGCCGCGUGGAGGAUGACGGUCUUCGGAUUGUAAACUCCUGUCAUCAGGGAGUAAGACCUGGGUGUUAAUAGCACACAGGGUUGAUAGUACCUGAAGAGGAAGGGACGGCUAACUUCGUGCCAGCAGCCGCGGUAAUACGAAGGUCCCAAGCGUUGUUCGGAUUCACUGGGCGUAAAGGGAGCGUAGGCUGUACGGUAAGUCAGAUGUGAAAUCUCGGGGCUCAACCCCGAAACUGCAUCCGAUACUGCCAUACUAGAGGAUUGGAGAGGUAACAGGAAUUCACGGUGUAGCAGUGAAAUGCGUAGAUAUCGUGAGGAAGACCAAUGGCGAAAGCAUGUUACUGGACAACUCCUGACGCUGAGGCUCGAAGGCUAGGGUAGCGAAAGGGAUUAGAUACCCCUGUAGUCCUAGCAGUAAACGGUGCGCGCUUGGUGUGAGGGGAUUCGACCCCCCUUGUGCCGGAGCUAACGCGUUAAGCGCGCCGCCUGGGAAGUACGGUCGCAAGACUAAAACUCAAAGAAAUUGACGGGGACCCGCACAAGCGGUGGAGUAUGUGGCUUAAUUCGAUGCAACGCGAA